CUGUUAAACUGGUGUGUCAGCCCCACAGCUGCUUUGCAGAGUGCAGUGAGAACAGUGUUUUUUAUCAGCUCAACACUCACAUUUUCCUUCUUUCUGAAAGAAACCCUUACAAAGCAUGGCCUGCCUCAAUAAAAGUGUGAUAAAGCCAUGAUGGGAUAAAAGAACUUAAGUUAAAAGCUCUGCCUUCCCCUAUUUACUUUUUUUUACACAUGGGAUCAGUUUUCACAUAGGAAGAUAGCUACAGAGCUUAAUUUCUUUGGUGGUGGAAAUAGUAUUGAAACAUCACAGUUAUUUCCACCUUUCUACCACCUGCAGGGAAAUGAGGAAAGCUGCACAUCUGGUAGGAAAAUCAGAGGAGUCAUCACAGAGAAAAUCCUGAGCUGUCCGGCUAGUCCUGGGCUCUGCAUUUGCAGCACGUGGCUGAAAACAG
rnacentral:lncRNA from 1 species